GGGUUAGGAGACUUGAUCCCAUAGGUACAACUCGGAGUAGACACCGACAGGCCGGCCUUCCUCCGAUCCACACCUCCACUCUAUCUCUCUCAAUUUAGUAGAAACUAGAAGAUCUAUUUCUACUUUACAUUGGUUGCUAAGCCUAAAAAGAAAUAUUAUUUAGAGAAGAGGUUUUCCUUCAAGGGCACCCCUCAAUCUCUAUGAUAAUUUCUUGUCUCCUCCAGGGGCCAGAGGGGGUCUCCUUAUAUAGUCCUCCCCUUCUAUGCGUUUUUGGGUCGAUAGGCGAGGUGGUACUAUGUUAUUCUGGAUCCAAUAGGUCGGUGGAACGUCGUGUGCGAAGAGAGUCCGGAACGGAGUCCAGAGGUGGGCGGGCGCCAAGGUCCUCAGGGCGGGCGCCCUGGGCCUGGCCCCUUUCGAGCUCCGCUUCCUUCCUGUGGCUUCUGGAGUCUUCUAGAUGGUAGGAAAUUGCGCGGUGGGUUGAUAUCUCUAUGUAAUCCCGAUAUGUGGGCCUUUCUUCCUUAUUUCCUGAUAACCCCCUGCAGAAAUAGUCAAACACCAAAACUCGUGGAAUUCUGUUAGAUAAAACCCUAAGUCUAGAUGUUGAUUUCAUUUGGAUCCUUUUCUUUGUUUAUUUGAUAAUUAAAUUUGAUACUGAAGGACCGUCAACAAACUCCCCCAAGCUUACCUCUUGCUCGUCCCUGAGCAAGGAUGAACUCAAGAGUUUCUGUAGUGGUUUCAUUUCUUAGAAGUACACACGCAUUCAAGCAAGAUCUCAUCUCUGAGUUAGAAUAAACUGUUAAGACUUAAAACUUACUCAUUUUACCUUUCACCAUGGGGCUUGUAACCGUCACUUGUGUCUUGAGCAAUUAAAAGAUAGAACGGUCAAGUCAAGCGCCAUGUCUCUUAUUCUUGAUCAGCUAUAGCUCUGGAGUUUUUGCAGAUUUUCAAAUAAAACUCAGAGAUUCCUUGUAUGACUCUCUUAGAUCUCUCUUUUGUGGUAUUUCUGGAUCCUUACCAAGGCAGUAAUGGUAUAUGCCUUCUCUCAAAGUAUGUGGUAUUUUUGGUAUAAUGCAUAGUGAUAUUGCCUUCUCUCUCACCCUACUCUAAUAAGGUUUUGAUAUCUGGAGCUCAUAGGUGGGAGACAGCUAAUACAUACUUACACGACAUUUAUUGCAUAGUCAAACCAUGGAUCCAGAGAAACAAGUCAAUAAGUCAAAUCAAGAUGUGCAUGUGUGGCGAAUGAAUGGUGUAUGGUGAUGAUGUUGAUAAUAAUGGUGAAAGUCUAAUUCUACUUUUGCUCUUUUGAGGGGAUACAUACCUUUCUUGCACUUUGAAGCUUUUUGGGGAGAAUGAGAUGCUCUAUAUUUUCUUUUUCUUUCCUCUCAGGUGGGUAUCUUGUACCCCUAAUUCUACUGUCGGACACUUGUCCAUUUUUACCUCUCGUCUCACUUUUUUUUUCUUCCGAGGUUCCGGGCACUUGCCCCUUUUUAUUUCCUCGUAUAUUAUUUAUUUUAUUUUUUUUCUUUUUUAGAGCACUCAUCUCCUUAAAUAAUAUAGCAAGUGGUAGUAACCAAGAUAACUCGAGCAUGUAUUUCACAGGGAAUAACAGGGAUAGGAAAAUAUUUUUGGCUAUUCUCUCCCGAAUUAGGAGUAGAAUAAUUUUGGGUGAAUGUGGAGGUGGAAAUGAGUGGAUAUAUGUGGAUGGUACUUCCGGAGUAGAAGUAGCAUGUAUGAGUGAACGUGCAAGUGAAUCUUGAUUUUAACCACAUGACAAGCUCCUAAGGGUCUACACAGCUUGACCACACUCAAUACUCAUAAGCAGUAAAAAGUAAAUAUGUGGCUCAAAGUCUAGCAAGCAUGUAUAUAUGGCUGUGGUAGGAUUUUAAACUCUCAUCAUACAGGAACUCAUCAUGUGUUAUUUUAAAGAUUUUUUUCAAAGAUAAAAUUCUCUAGAAUUCUAGCAUCUCUAGGAACAGAUAAACAGCAGCUCAACCUUCCCAUAUCAUAUCCGUUAACGACUUAGACUUUAGAUCAAAUACUCUUCCCACAAGUUUAGGUUUAGAGCAAGCUUUAAAUUAUAACAGUUAUGCCUAAACUUGAGAGAGAUUUCAAUUUUAAGAACUAGUCAUGGCAGAGCAACUAUUCAUCAUUUCCAUGAGAGAGUUUAUCAUGAGUGUUCAUAGCAAACUUUAUUUAUUUAUUUAUUUAGAAAAUUAAGCAAAGAUAUAUAUAUAAGCAUAAAAUCUUUAUUUGGUUUUUCCUGGUUUAUGUAUAUUUAUACUUUAAUAUAGUAUAAGUAUAAAGAUAGAUAGAUAGAUAGAUAGAAAUACUUAUCGGGAUAAAUGGGGGUGCUAUCCCCCAAGCUGAAUUUUGACGUAAUUUCUCUUGAUGUAGUUAGCAGGUGGCAGAGGUGUACUUGAAAGUCAGCAGCAUUCUGACAACGAUUAAAAUAUCCUCCGUCUGCUAGUCUUCUUGAUUCUUAAAUCCUGUGGAGCUCAAAUAGACAACAAAGCUUUGUGGAACUGGUUAAGUGUUAGCAUAAAUACCUAGCCUUUAUCAUGUUGAGCCUCCUCAAUAAAUGUUAUUUAUUUAGCAGGAUUAUGCACUUAUUAUUUUUAUAUUUUUUAUUAUAAAAUGAAAACUUAUUUAUUUUAUUUUUAUGCCACCACAGUGAAUGUACUUAUGGGUUUUAUGCCAUGAGCAUACUCACAUAGGGCUUACUAUUUUUUUAACAUUUUUUUAAUUUUCUUUUCAAGAUAACAUGAACCUGAUUAACUAAGCAAACUAUAAUUGAAUAAUUGAAAGGAAAAGGAUAACUACCAAGUUUACCUCUUGGCAAGGCGUUCGGUGUUUUUAAGUCCUCCGAACGGGACUUCUUGUGUUUUCACUCGUCCUGGGAUUCGCUAGGUGGCGUAGUCGGUGGUUCCGGCGGCGCCUCCUCUUCGUGUGUAACUAUCUUCUCUCUCCACACCUGACUCGGUGCUACAGUCUCCUCAGGACAGUUCUGUUCAAGUGGUAUGUCUUCAGUCCUUAUCACUUCUCCUUCGUAGUCUACCCAUCCGUCCUUGAUGAUUUGCCUCCUCUGGUUGCGGUUGCGUUGUCUUCUUCUUGUCCUGACCUGCUUAGAGUCUUCAACUAUAUAGUUAGGGUCAGUAAAACAGCGGCAUACCUUCUCAGAGGAGAAGUGUAUGUGGACUUCUCCGGUUCCAAUAUAGAUGAUGGCUUUGAUAGUGCUGAGGAACUGUCUUCCAAGGAUGGUGGGUGGAUCAUACUCAUCUUCUCCCAUGUCAAUGACCUGAAAAUCAUCUAUAGCUGAAUGUAUAUUGGUUGUAGGGGCAUGGUUUCAUGCAGGAGCUGAUAAGUGACUACGGCCAUUAUGUUGACGUCAGAUCCGGUGUCGUAGAGUGUCUUCUGAAAAGAGUAUCUGUUGAUUGUGCACUCAAUGCUUAGAACACCAGGGUCGUCCUUCUUGAUCAAGAAAGGUGACUUGAGUCGACGAUCUUGACCUCCUUGAACUGCAGUGACCAUCUUAGCUGACUCGGUCCACAUUUGCUUGUUCCUGUUCCUCCUGUUGGUCCUCUUCCUUGGUUCAUGUCGGGGUUGCUCUGAAGUUUGUGUAGUCUUGUUCUUGAAGGAAAGUCUCCUUCUUCCCCUUGAUGUAGAGACUGAUCUUGGCAGCAUUAGCGUAGAUGACAGCUCUAGUGUUUAGGAAUGGCCUCCCUAAGAUGAUGGGUGCCCUCUCCUCAGUACCAGUCUCUAUCACCAUGAAGUCUGCUAGAGCAUACAAGGUACCAACUCGGACGCAGAGGUUCUUUAAUAUUUCCUUUGGGAAACUGAGUGUCCGAUCUGCAACCCUGGGCAUAAUGUUGACGCUAGAGCCAAAGUCGCAGAGUGCUUCUGGGAAGUCCACCAUGCCGAUGGAGAUCGGGAUGACGGGGCGUCCUAGAUCACCUCUCUGAGUAAUUAGGCCUCUGUUGAUUCCAACCUUGAUGUUGUUGAGGACGGUUGUAGUAAUAGUUGUUAUUGUUGUUGAUGUAGUUCACGUCCUCAAGCAUCUCAGGGCAGUGAUUGCCUGAGUGUCCAGUAUCUCCAGUGUGUUUGUGCUCGUAGAUCCUAGUUCUUCACUUGAUGGAAUCUGGGAGUUGUAAAACUCCUUCAUAUUAUGCUCGAAGUGUUCCUGCUCAUAGAGACAAGGUAGAGAUCAAGUGCAUGGGCCCUGUUGGUGGAAAACACCAACAGAACCAAAAGUGUAUUUGUUCUUCUCUAACCUUAAGCAUAGUGAGCAAGACAAAGUUGAUGGAUCAUGAGUGUAGCAUUUAAAACAUUUGUUAGAUCAGAUGGCUCAACCUAAUGGAAAGAUAAUCUAUCUAUAUUUAUGUUUUGUUUAUAUCUUCCAAAGAUUGAAUGUGGAAUACUUUAGCUUAUAUGAUUAGGAGUGUGGGAUCACGAAGGUAGUACUAAGAACAAAGAUUAAAGGACUAAACAUGCUGAAUUAAUUGAGUUGGUUAAUUUGGAGUUAUAAAUCAUACAUGUUUGUCUCUUUUAUUCAUGUGUAUGCCAGAACCAAGGAGAACUUAUAAAAGUGAUAAUCAAGUACUUUAAGAUGUUAUUGAAGAGUGAUGGUAUAGUAUCACCUUGUGGAAGCUUUCCUUUCUUAGUGGUUGUGCAUCGUGUUUGUGGCACCCUCCAUGAAUCAUCUCUUAUGAGCUACGUCUUUCUUGUGCAAAUUGUUAAACUUCAUGUGUCACUUUCUUCAUCUCCAAGGUGAGUUUAUCUCAGGACUUCCCAGGUUGAUAUUGAAAGUUCUCCUGCAGGGGUUAGUCCCACAAAAUAUACCAAUAUCUACUCAAGCAGUUUUUAGUUCAGUAACCAAACUAGACUCCAUGUCUAAUCAGCUUAAGGAAGGCUAUUUAACCUAAGCACCACGCUUAAUUUAAAUGCCAUUGGAAGUGUCCAGUACUUCCAAACUAACACUUACUAGGAUAAACAAAGGUAGCAUGAUGGCUUUUAUAGAGAUCUACUCAAGUGGAGAUGAAGUAUUGUGAUUAGUAUUUAACAAAUUGAGCAUGUCUCAAAGGUAAGGACAACCAACAUAGUAACAUGGCAAAGGAUGUUUUAUGUAAAGUACUCCCCCAAGCUUGAAUUUUGCAAAAUUCAAGUUUGGAUGAAUUUAAUUCAAUGUUGCAUGAUGAUUGGUUGGACAUACCUUGUGCUUGUCAUUCCUCGGAUCUUCUUGCUCCAAUCCUAGAAAGGUUAGUGACACGAAUACCCGAAGGAAUAUUUCUACAAUUAUCUUUAUAUGCUCAAUACACAAGGCAAUGUUGCAAAUAAUUAAAAGUUCAUGUUAUGAUCUGAUAAGUGCUUGUUUUAGGACACUAAGCUUGUCCUUGGGAAACCAUCAAUUAAAUCAGCGAGAUCUGCAAUAUUUAUUAUAGACAUAUGCAUCGACAACCGCUCUUUUAAAGUUUUUAUAAAUAGAAAAGAAGAGAGGGUUGGAGAUCUCAAAUGUGGUAAUGUUGGAGAGACUAAUUGAUUGGGGAGAUGUUGCAUAUGAGCAUGGACUUGGUGAGGUAUUUAUGAAAUAACUUCCAUGCUCACUGUUGUUUCUCUCAUUCUCAAACUCCAAGGAUGGUUCUUCAUGAAUGCUUAAAAUUCCUCUAGGAUUGUCUCUCAAGUUUGUUUUAUCUAUCCAUUCAAUGGUGAUAGCACAUGGAUUUUUAAUGCCCUCUAGCCAUCGAUGUUGCUCUUCUCGAUCAUCCUUGUGGUCUUGGUGACUCUUAUGCAUGGGAUGUCUAGAGAGAUCCAUAGGAUCAUCGGGAGGUUCAAGAGAAAGAGCAUAGUAGAAAUUGUUAAGCUCAAGGAUGGGUUGGAUAGCCGAAUCAUGGGAUUGAAAUGUUUAGAAAUUGGCUAUUGAAACUUUCUUUCCUCGUCUGGGAGAUGAUUCCUUCUCUAUCUCUAAGAUUUUUCUAUGAAGACUAGUACAAGAAGGAUGUCCGCGAAUGAAGACAUGCCUUCCUUUACUAAUAGAUAAAGAAAGGACUCUACCAAAGGUUAUAUGAUUAAGACCAAUGUGAAAAUAUCUAGGAAAAAUAUGGUCUUGUAGGGCUAGGUCUAAACCAGAAUUUAUAGGAAGAUUAACAUAUUCCCUAGGUGUAGCUAAAAGUGCAAUAUCUUUUUGAUUAAAAGAUAGGACCUCGGCUAUAGAAAAGGGUUGGUUUUGACCUAUUGCAAUCAACUCCGGACACAGAUCAUAAUUAGGGGCAGGACGUGUUGACUCCCAUGGUCUAUGGCUGGUCUCCGAAGGUGCAAAGAAUUCAAUAAUAGGUAUGGAAUUUGAGUUAUCCAUAAAGAUGGAAAAAAUAAAAAGAUAAAAGAAUAAAAGUAUAAAAGUAUAAUACGAGAUAAUAGCAAGACUCAAAGUUAUCUCAGCAAACCGUCUUUCUCCCCGGCAACGGCGACAGAAAUGCUUGUUGAUAUUUGGUAACGCAAUUAGAAAAUGAUCCGCAAGCGCACAUAUAUCGGUGAGCAUUUCACCCGGGAGGUUUUCCAGAGUAUCGUAUUUAUAUUUUUACCACUAGGAGAAAGGGUGCAUCUGACUAACCAAAUCUAUUGCUACUACCCCUUUAGGCUACAAAGAAUGUUUCUCGAUGUGAGUGAUGUAUAGAGAAGACUGCAACCGUAGUCUCGUUCUAACCUUGGUAAGGAUGAUCUACUGUUCUAUUGGGGAGGCUCACGGAAUCUAGACAACACAAAGGAUGUUCAACCCGCACCUAUAAACCUACCCGUCCUGCUAACAAGAUAUGGGAUACAAAGGUAACUCGGAAAUGUCAUGUUCCUCGCUACUACCACGGUCCAGCUAGUCAGGGGAUAUCUAUGAGUACCCUAGCCUAAACACCACGUUUACGCCAGCAAUGAUUACUCUAAUACUCAACCGGAAGAGGAUUAAAGUAAACUCAUAAACCAAAGAACAAUAAAACAAUAACUUACUAGCAUUAGAAGUCGAAUUACUGAAGAAUCUUAGAAGCAAGCCUCGGGUGGUUAGGAGACUUGAUCCCGUAGGUACAACUCGGAGUAGACACCGACAGGCCGGCCUUCCUCCAAUCCACACCUCCACUCUAUCUCUCUCAAUCUAGUAGAAACUAGAAGAUCUAUUUCUACUUUACAUUGGUUGCUAAGCCUAAAAAGAAAUAUUAUUUAGAGAAGAGGUUUUCCUUCGAGGGCACCCCUCAAUCUCUAUGAUAAUCUCUUGUCUCCUCCAGGGGCCAGAGGGGGUCUCCUUAUAUAGUCCUCCCCUUCUAUGCGUUUUUAGGUCGAUAGGCGAGGUGGUACUAUGUUAUUCUAGAUCCAAUAGGUCGGUGGAACGUCGUGUGCGAAGAGAGUCCGGAACGGAGUCCAGAGGUGGGCGGGCGCCCAGGUCCUCAGGGCGGGCGCCCUGGGCCUGGCCCCUUUCGGGCUCCGCUUCCUUCCCGUGGCUUCUGGAGUCUUCUAGAUGGUAGAAAAUUGCGCGGUGGGUUGAUAUCUCUAUGUUAUCCCGAUAUGUGGGCCUUUCUUCCUUAUUUCCUGAUAACCCCCUGGAGAAAUAGACAAACACCAAAACUCGUGGAAUUCUGUCAGAUAAAACCCUAAGUCUAGAUGUUGAUUUCAUUUGGAUCCUUUUCUUUGUUUAUUUGAUAAUUAAAUUUGAUACUUAAGGACCGUCAACAGUAUUGCAUUGCUUGUUUGCUCUCUCCUUGUCGGUGGGGUUAGCGGGAUCAAGGAUCACAAAAUCAUUUUCCAUCACUUCCCACACUCUAUCAUUUAUUGAUCCAAGGUACAUUUUCAUUUUUCUUUUCCAAUAGUCAAAAGAUCUUGUGCCAUCAAAGAACGGUGGCUUGCCCCCAACAUGGUUGAACACUAUUUGAGCUAUAAUUUGAGCACCGAGGUUGUUAAGCCUUCACAAAACGGUGACCACGGCUCCGAUACCACUUGAAACAUCCUAAUAUGGCUAGAGGGGGGUGAAUAGCCUAUUUAAAAAUUCUACAAACUCACUAGAGCAAGAGGUUAGUAAAUAACAAAGCGAAGCUUUUUGCUCUAGCUCUAAAGGGGUGUUUGCAAGCCACCUAUCCAACAAUUCUAGUUGAUAUAAUCACUAGGCACACAAGAGCUAUGUCACUACUUACACUAGAAAGGUACCUAAAGUUUCUAUACAAGUAAGUAAUCUACUCUUGUUUGCGGGAAGGUAAAAAGAGAUAGUUUGAUAUUUAUACCGCCACGUAGAUGGGAUGAACCAAUCAAUAAUAUGAAGUCCAAUCACCGGGAGAAAUCCAAUGAACAAUCACAAUGGAGACACACAAUGUUCUCCCGAGGUUCACGUGUUUGGCAGCAUGCUACGUCCGCGUUGUGUCGACGAACACUUGGUGGUUCGAUGGCUAAGAGGUGUAGCAUGAACCUUGUCCUCACUAGGACACACCAAGAACCGACCCACAAGUGAGGUAGCUCAAUGACACGAGCAAUCCACUAGAGUUACCUUUCGGCUCUCGGCCGGGGAAGGUACAAGACCCCUCACAAUCACCGAGAGAUGGCCACGAACAAUCACCAACUUGUGCCAAUGCUCCUCCGCUACUCCAAGCCGUCUAGGUGGCGUCAACCACCAAGAGUAACAAGAAAACUGCAGCCAAAACGAUCCCAGGUGCCACUAGAUGCAAUCACUCAAGCAAAUGCACUUGGAAUCACUCCCAAUCUCACAAAGAUGAAUAAUCUAAGAAGGAGAUGAGUGGGAAGUGUUUGCUUAGGCUCACAAGGAUGUCAAGUAUGCUAGAAUACCAAGAGGGUGAGCCCUAAGCCGGCCAACACGUAUUUAUAAGCCCCUCAAACAAAUAGUGUCAUUGGCUCUUUCACUAGGCAGAAAACGGAGCCACCAGACGCUCUUCAUGUUACACCGGACGCGUCCGGUGCCUGGAACAAUUCCACCGUUUGAAAUCCAACCGUUACCGCCAACGUGAGUCUCCCUAUGGUCGCAGCACCGGACUCACAGUGAGUCCACAACGGACUCGUCUAGUCCUCAAUGAACUUUAACCCAGAGAGCUCUACAAGUGAAAAGAGCACCGGCCUCUUACCACCGGACCGUCCGGUGCUCACCGUUCUUAAACCCAGAGAGCAGUGCAAAAGCGUAGACCACCAGACUCUCCUCACCGGACACGCCUUGAGCGUCCGGUGCUUCCAGUCAAACACACCAGGUGAAGUCAAGUCACAGCAAACGCACCAACAGGAUCUCUCCUGCGUCCGGUGUCUAACCCUAGUAGAGCCAGGCACUACCUGCACACCGGAUGCAGAGACACAGCAUACGAUGCCUCUGGGCCAGCGUCCGAUGAGUGUUUCUCCCGCGACUUCUCCAAAUUUCCCACCAGUGCAAUAGACAAUAUGCACUUCAUUUUCUCAAAAAGCACCGAGCCCAUCCUCUCUCUACCCUUCAAACUCCACCUCCUUCUCAAAGUGUGCCAACACCACAAAGUGUGUACCAACAAGUGCACGUGUAUUAGAAUUUUCACAAUCAUUUUCUUUGAAUGAGUUAAGUUAGCUCACUAGGUUCUAAAUGCAUGCACAUGAAUAAUGACACCUAGUGGCACUUGAUAACCGCUUAGCCAAAGAAUUCGCCUCUUUAUAGUACGGCUAUCUAUCCUAAAUGUGAUCACACCCUCUAUAGUGUCUUGAUCACGAAAACCAAAACCCUAAGCAAUACCUUUGCCUUGUUCUCCAUAGGGUUUUGUUUUUCUCUUUCUUCUUUUCCAAGUUGAGCACUUGAUCAUCUUGUGGCCAUCACCAUGAUCAUUUCUUGCUCCAUCACUUGGCAUGUACCAACCUCAUUAAGUAUACACAGACUUAGUAUAGAGGUUAGUACAAGGGUUUCAUCAAUUAUCCAAAACCAAACUAGGGUUGUCACCUAGUUGGUGAAAACACGACUCUUGAGGAGAAGAUCUGCGGUAAGGCUUCUAUGCUCUUAUGUUUUCUUUGUUUGUGCGAUGUUCCUUUUCUAUCGUCUGAUUCCUUAUUUCGAUCUCUGCAGGGCUUAAGGAUGUUUGGCUGGUAGCCCAGGUUGACUCCUAGUCUCUUAAGGCGUAGCUCGAGGGAGAGGUCAUGUUGAUAGGUUGACUAAGAACAGCGAUCAACGACCUCUCGACCUCUUGGGAGCUCGAGCCUGCAAACAAGGCGGGGGAGACGGCUCGAGGUGAUGCUCUGGUCGACCAGCUAUGCUACCUUGGCGCCACUCUGAGGGACCGAGUGCGAGACGCACUCCAUACUAGGGUGAAGUGGGCUAUGGAGGUCGUAUGCUCGGGCUUCUCCUAUGAUAUGGAGGUAGUGUCCUACGGCUUCGUCACCGACAUCUCCAAGACCGAUGCUGAGAAUGAGGAGAGGCGCCAUGCCUUGAUCGACAAAGUAGAGGUUCCUAGCGAGAGGCUGGCGAAGCUGUUCGAGCCAGAGGUGCUCCCUCGUGAAGCCGGCGCGGGCACAGAAGAUGGGGGUGAGGGUGGAGAUGAUGACUAAGGCCUGUGGGCCUAAUUUGGGUACUUAGACCCAUUGUAAUAUAUUUAGUACUUGUCUUAGAUAAGCAUUGUGGCCCAAGUGGCCUUAAGACUCAUGGUUUCUAUAAAUACUUGUUAUUUUUAUGCUCGAGCUUCUUUUAUUGCUUUGUUGCCUAAGUUCAUGUUCCUCGAUUGCUCUUUUUGUUAAAAACGACCUCGAUUCCCUCGAGGCUAGGGGAGUGAGUAGAGUUACCGUAGCCCAGAGGUGUAGGGAUUCUCAGGCUCGACGUCCCCCGGCCCUUAAGGGGCUCGAGACGUCUUUACUCAAUCGCGCGGGAUUUCCAUAGGGCUUAAAAGGGAAAAGAUAGCGUGGAGCUUUUUGAAAAAUUGUUCGAUUUUUAGGAGCCCGUGGGGUUCCCCCCUGCUAGCCCCUAAGGGAGUUUUGACUAUGAUGGGUCAUAGUCGAGUCUUCCUCCUAAUCUCAAGAUUUAAUGGUAACAUUGUGUAUUACUUGGAGAAGUACUUUCAUUCAUUCAAAUAUUCAUUCAUGGAGCCUCAAUGGUACAAGAUGUGUGUGAAAUGUAAAGCCUCAAAGCUCUAGAGGUAGAAGCAACAUAGCUGUUCGAUGUUCCAUGUGUUGGUGAAGACAGCCCCCUUUUCAUCCGCGAGCUUGUACGUCCCGGGCUUCAAGACCUCAGCCACCACAUAUGGACCCUCCCAAGGUGGAGUCAGCUUGUGGCGUCCUUGAUUGCUUUGCCAUCGAUGUAGGAUGAGGUCGCCCACAUUCAGGUGCCUCUUGCAUACGUGCCUGUCGUGGUAGCGUCAGAGCUUCUACUGGUACCUUGCUGAGUUGAGGAGGGCCAUGUCUCGAGCUUCCUCGAGUUGGUCGACCGCGUUAUCUUGAGUCUCCUUGUUUGUCUGCUCAUUGUAUGCUUUGAGUCGAGGUGACCCAUACUCGAGGUCUGUUGGAAGCACGGCCUCAGAGCCAUAGACCAUGAAGAAUGGGGUGUAUUUCGUGGCUCUGCUCGGCAUCGUUCUUAAGCUCCACAGGACCGAGGAGUGUUCCUCGACCCAUUUCUUGCCGAACUUCUUCAACUGGUUGUAGAUUCUAGGCUUGAGCCCUUGCAAAAUCAUGCCGUUGGCAUGCUCGAUCUAGCCAUUAGUUUGAGGGUGAGCUACUGCAAACCAGUUCACACGGAUGUGAUGCCGAUCAUAGAAGUCCCCGUGAACUGUGUGCCAUUGUUGGGGAUGAUGACGUUGGGUAUCCCAGAUCAAUGGAUUAUGUCAGUGAAGAAGAGGAUGGCUUGCUCGGAGUGAAUGUUAGUGAUGGGUCGAGCUUCGAUCCAUUUUGAGAAUUUAUCGAUGGCUACUAGCAGAUGGGUAUACGCACGAGAUGCUUGUUGAUAUUUGUUAACGCCAUCAGAAAAUGAUCCGCAAGCGCAUGGAUAUCGGUGAGCACUUCACCCGGGAGGUUAUCCAGAGUAUCGUAUUUAUAUUUUUACCACUGGGAGAAAGCGUGCAUCUGACUAAGCAAAUCUAUUGCUACUACCAUUUAGGCUACAAACAAUGUGAUUUGAUGUGAGCGAUGUAUAGAGAAGACUACAACCGCACUCUCGUUCUAACCUUGGUAAGGAUGAUCUACUGUUCUAUUAGGGAGGCUUACGGAAUCUAGACACCACAAAGGAUGUUCGACCCGCACCUAUAAACCCUACCGAUCCUACUAACGGGAUUGUGGGCUAAAAAGGUAGCUACAGAAAUGUCAUGUUCCUCGCUACUACCACGGUCCUGCUAGAUAGGGGAUAUCUAUGAGUACCCUAGCCCAAACACCACGUUUACGCUAGCAAUGAUUACUCUAAACUCUACCGAAAGAGAUUAAAGUAAACUCAUAAACCAAAGAACAAUAAGAACAAAGAACUUACUAGAAUUUAGAAGUCGAAAUACUAAAGAAUCAUAGGAGCAAGCCUCGGGUUAGGAGACUUGAUCCCGCAGGUACAACCUCGGAGUAGACACUGACAGGCCGGGCUUCCUCUGAUCUAUACCUCCACUCUAUCUCUCUCAAUCUAAAAGAACUAAUUCUAAUCUCACAUUGGAUGCUAAGCCCUAUGAGGUUGGAACCCUAGAGGGACCUCUCUCUCUGAAUCCUCUCUAGAAAAUAUGCCAAUGAAUAAUGGGAUUGCCCUCCUCUAGGGGCCAGGGGGCCUGCUUAUAUAGCCCCUCCAAAUGAACGUGGGUCGUUGGAUCAAACCGACCUAAUCACACUGUUUUCCUUAAUCGUUUAGGUCGGUGGAGCAAAAUCCGUGAGACGAGACUUGAUUGGUCCCUCUAGCAGGGCGGGCACCCUAGGGGGGAGGGCGGGCGCCCUACCCCCAGGCCCGCUCGGCCUCCCGUUCGUUCCCAUGGCUUCUGGACUCUUCUAGAUGAUUGAAAAUUGUGCAGCACGUUAAUAUCUCUAUGUAAACCCAACGUGUGGGCCUUUCCUCCAUAUUUCCUCAUAACCCCCUGCAGAAAUAGACGAACACCAAAACUUGUGGAAUUCUGUCACAUAAAACCCUAAGUCUGGGUAUUGGUUGCAUUUGGAUCAUUUUCUUUAUUUAUUUGAUGAUUAUAUUUGGUACUUAAGGACCGUAAACAACUCCCCCAAGCUUACCUCUUGCUCGUCCCUAAGCAAGGAUGGACUCAAGAGUUUCUGCAGUGGUUUCAUGCCUUAAAAGUACACAUGCGUUCAAGCAAGAUCUCAUCUCUGAGUUAGAGUAAACUGUUAAGACUUAAAACUUACUCAUUUUACCUUUCACCAUGGGGCUUGCAACCGUCACUUGUGUCUUGAGCAGUUAAAAGAUAGAACAGUCUAGUCAAGCGUCAUGUCUCUUGUUAUUUGAUCAGUAUAGCUCUAGAGUUUUUGCAGAUUUUCAAAUAAAACUCAGAGAUUCCUUGUAUGACUCUCUCAAAUCUCUCUUUUGUGGUAUUUUUAGAUCCUUUCCAAGGCAAUAAUGGUAUAUGCCUUCUCUCAAAGUAUGUGGUAUUUUUGGUAUGAGGCAUAGUGAUAUUGCCUUCUCUCUCACCCUACUCUAAUAAGGUUUUGAUAUCUGGAGCUCAUAGGUGGGAGAUAAAGCAUACAUACUUACAAGACAUUUAUUGCAUAGUCAAACCAUGGAUCCAGAGAAACAAGUCAAUAAGUCAAAUCAAGAUGUGCAUGUGUGGCGAGUGAAUGGUGUAUGGUGAUGAUGGUGAUAACAAUGGUGAAAGUCUAAUUCUACUUUUGCUCUUUUUAGGGGAUACAUACCUUUCUUGCUCUUUUGAAACUUUUUGAGGAGAAUGAGAUGCUCUACAUUUUCUUUUUCUUUCCUCUCAGGUGGGUAUCUUGUACCCCUAAUUAUACUGUCGGACACUUAUCCAUUUUUACGUCUCGUCUCACUUUUUCUUUUCUUUCGAGGUUCUGGGCACUUGUCCCUUUUUAUUUCCUCAUAUCCUUUCUCUUUUUUUAAGCACUCAUCUCCUGAAAUAAUAUAGCAAGUGGUAGUAACCAAGAUAACUCGAGCAUUUAUUUUACAGGUAAAAACAGAAAUAGGAGAAUGUUUUUUGGCUAUUCUCUCCCGGAUGAGGAGUAUAAUACUUUUGGGUGGUUCUGGAGAUGGGAAUGAGUGGAUAUAUGUGGAUGCGUACUUCAGGAGUAGAAGCAGCAUGUGUGAGUGAACGUGCAAGUGAAUCUUGAUUUUAACCGCAUGACAAGCUCCUAAGGGUCUACACAACUUGACCACACUCAAUGCUCAUAAGCAGUAAAAAGUAAAUAUAUGGUUCAUAGUCUAAUAAGCAUGUAUAUAUGGCUGUGGUAGGAUUUUAAACUCUCAUCAUACAGGAACUCAUCAUGCAAUAUUUUAAAGAUUUUCAAAGAUAAAAUUCUCCAGAUUUCUAGCAUCUCUAGGAAUAGAUAAACAGCAGCUCAACCUUCCCAUAUCAUAUCCGUUAACGACUUAGACUUUAGAUCAAGUACUCUUCCCACAAGUUCAGGUUUAGAGCAGGUUUAAAUUAUAACAGUUAUGCCUAAACUUGAGAGAGAGCUCAAACUUGAAAACUAGGUACAUGGCAGAGCAACUAUUUAUCAUAUCCAUGUAAGAGUUUAUCAUUUAAGUUCAGUUUGGCCUAGACACUUUAUUUAUUUAUUUAGCAAACUAAGCAA
rnacentral:lncRNA from 1 species